GCGCCCGUAGCUCAAGGGAUAGAGCGACGGCCUCCGGAGCCGUAGGUUGCAGGUUCGAAUCCUGUCGGGCGCACCA
rnacentral:tRNA from 1 species